rnacentral:rRNA from 1 species
CCUACGGGAGGCUGCAGUGGGGAAUAUUGCACAAUGGGGGAAACCCUGAUGCAGCAACGCCGCGUGGGUGAAGGAGCGUUUCGGCGCGUAAAGCCCUGUCAGCGGGGAAGAAGAAAGACGGUAGCCGACCAAGAAGCCCCGGCUCACUACGUGACAGCAGCCGCGGUAAUACGUAGGGGGCGAGCGUUAUACGGAAUUACUGGGGGUAAAGGGAGCGUAGAGGGCGAGGGAAGCCUGAAGUGGAAGCGCGCGGCCCAACCGCGGAACUGCUUUGGGAACUGUUUUGCUGGAGUGCGGGAGGGGUAAGCGGAAUUCCUGGUGUAGCGGUGAAAUGCGUAGAUAUCAGGAGGAACACCGGUGGCGAAGGCGGCUUACUGGACCAUAACUGACGUUGAGGCUCGAAAGCGUGGGGAGCGAACAGGAUUAGAUACCCUGGUAGUC